rnacentral:rRNA from 1 species
AUAUCAAUAAGCGGAGGAAAAGAAACUAACAAGGAUUCCCUGAGUAACGGCGAGUGAAACGGGAAGAGCUCAAAUUUAAAAUCUGGUACCCUUAAAUGGGUAUCCGAAUUGUAAUUGAGAGGGUCUUCUUUUGAUGAAGGUGAUGGCCAAAGUUCUCUGGAAAGGGGCAACAAAGAGGGUGACAUUCCCGUCUGGGUCAUUACACUGAGUCAGUAUAAAGGAGGCUCUAAGAGUCGGAUUGUUUGGGAAUGCAGUCCAAAAUGGGUGGUACAUUUCAUCUAAAGCUAAAUAUAGGCAAGAGACCGAUAGCGAACAAGUACCGUGAGGGAAAGAUGAAAAGAACUUUGAAAAGAGAGUUAAAUAGUACGUGAAAUUGUUAAAAGGGAAACGAUUGAGACCAGUGAUGUGACAGUUCUAAAGCAUUUCUCUCCCAAGAGAAAAAUGUGCAUUUAUGAGCUGUUCACGAGUCGACGCUCCUUUUGUGCCUUGGAAAAGACGGUAGGAAAGAUGGCUCCAUCUUUCAGAUGGCUGCUUUAUAGUCCUAUCGGGAUACAAGGUGUGGGAGGAGACAGGUAGGCUUACACUUGUUGUAAGUCACGUCGACGAAAUGGUCUUAAACGA